rnacentral:misc_RNA from 1 species
GAACGCACAUUGCGCCCUUUGGUAUUCCGAAGGGCAUGCCUGUCUGAGCGUCAAUAAAUCAAUCAAACCUUGGUUUGGUAUUGGGAGAAGUGGCUUUGCCUCUCUCCUUUAAGCUAUUGGCGACGCUAUUUCAGCUUGUAAGAUGUAGUAAGUAAUUUCUCGUCAAAGCAACUGGAUGGAUGUCUGCCAAAUGAACGAUUUAUUUAACAGCUUGACCUCAGAUCAGGUAGGGAUACCCCCUGAACUUAAG